rnacentral:tRNA from 1 species
UGGCUAAGUGGUUAAAGUGUUCGGUUCAAAAUCGAAAGGACAUGAGUUCGAUACCUCGU